GGGUGGCACUGUACUCAAAAGGGAGGAGUUGGUUAAAACAAACUGACUUUAAUGAUAGUCCUUUGAGAAUGACACGUAUGAAAGAUUUGAAAAAUCCAAUUCAUAGCCAUUAGUUGGACUUACUUUUUCCGUAAGGUAUAAGUAGCCUAUAAUUAGAGCUAACUCGAGAAGUCUACGCGAGAUCAACUCCCGCGUCCUUUAAAGGGGCAGCAUCGAGAGGAGAAAAAAAUAAAUAAACAGACGGAUCAUUGUGGCUUUCCUAAACAUUUACGUUACUGAAGAAUCGGAUGGCACAUAGUCUUUGCAGUCUAAGAGGAAGAGGAGGAAAGGAUGGGGAAGGGAAUUUGUUCGAGAAGACAGAGAAGAAUAUUUCAUUCUUUUCUGCUUCUCAUCUUCGUCUGCGGGACGCUGUGCGCCUUCAUGAUCUCAUAUGAGAUGCAAAAAGAGCUGAAAAAGACUGAGGCGACGGCUUUGAAGUACCAGCAGCAUCAAGAGUCACUUUCUGCACAGCUGCAAGUUGUAUAUGAGCAUCAUUCUAAGCUAGAGAAAUCCCUCCAGAAAGAAAGACUUGAGCAUAAGAAGGCUGAAGAAGCCUCUAUUGAUUGUCAAUACAUCAUAGAUUUGCUUGUGUUUAAGCGGGAAUCACAGAAGACCCUCAACAAAGAAAAGCAAGAAUCAACCUAUCGACUAAAUGCUCUGCAGACAGAGCAUCAAAUACUGAAGUCCCAACAUGAAGACUUGAAGAUGCAAUAUUAUGAACUUCAAGAGAAGAGCCAGAAUCAAGGGCAGGAUCAUGAACAUGUUCUGGAUGAGCACAGGCUGGAAAUAGACAACCUGCAGAGGGAGAAGGAGGUUGAAAUAUCCAGACUGAAAGAGAAUGUGUACAACCUUCGAGAGGAGAACAGACAGCUGCGGAAAGCUCAUCAGGACAUCUACACACAGUUACUUGAUGUGCAGGAACAGCACAAAAACCUGAAAGCUUCAAAAGAUGAUCAUCUCUCACUCACAUUACAAGACCACAAAAAUGCACUUGUUGCAGCCCAGGUGGAAGGAUAUGAGGAAAAUGGAAAAGGGUUAUCCCCUCAGGGUGUGUUGGAGAUUGAAAAUAACACUGCGACCAAAGUGGCAAUGAAGCAGCCUCAGCAAAUUGAUAUUUUUUCUGAGGGAAAUGGCAAGAAAGAGGAGAAAAGCACAUCAAAGGAUAGAGGAGGAGAGGAUAAGGGGAAAAAGGCAGUGAUGGAACAUUCCUUAUCAAACCCAGUAGAGCUGGGCAUUAACCCUCGCAACACGCUAAGCCAAAGCCUGGAGAAACAGACACAGACAGAGCCACUUCACAGAACCAAAGUACACUUUGAGGCUUUGGAUACAGUAAUCGCUGGGAAUGCUGUUCAAUCACACUAUAUUAUGGCUGGACAAGAUGAUGUAAAGGAGACUCAAAAGCAUGACAAGGGCAUAGGAGAAAAAAAACUGAAUGCUGUGAAUGAGGGCAACAACCAGAACGAAGAUGAAUUUGAAGAGGCAGAAGAAGAAACAGAGUACAAGACCAAUGCGAAUAAGAUCAGGCCUGAAGAGGAUGAGCAACUUGUGGUGGCAGGCAAUCCAGAGCAGCAAGAGGACCAACCAGAUGAGCAAUAUGAGGAUGAUGUAGAGGAUGAGGUGAGGGGAUACAGGCAUUGAUGGACUGGUGUGCUAAGGAAGUGAUACAAAAUGCUACAUGAAAAAUGACUUGUUCCCAUCAUCCCCACUGCGACAUCCAUUAGACUCUUGAUGACAGACAGAAGAGAGCAGAAGAGGAAGAGAGUGAAGAUGAUCCCUACAGUGAGCAUAAUGGAGCACAGGGCCAUGAAUGAAUACACAGAAGCUGAAAAUGAUGCCAAUCAGAUGGAGAGUUUCCAAGAAAAAAUGAUAAAAAGAGGAUGAAGAAGAUCUUGGGGAAAGCAAUCAAAAGCCUGAGAUGUGAAGGGGACUGAUUCUAGUGUCUGCUGAGUGGCUUUACACAUCUCUUCUAGCAGAAAACUAAAGUGCAACAACUGUGAUCCCUUGUUUUUCCCCCAAGAAAUGACUACUUGUGCAAGUGCCUUU